rnacentral:rRNA from 1 species
AGAAUCAACGCUGGCGGCGUGCCUCAGACAUGCAAGUCGAACGAUUAAAGCUCCCUUCGGGGAGUGCAUAAAGUGGCGCACGGGUGAGUAACACGUAAGUAAUCUACCCUCGGGUGGGGAAUAACGUUCGGAAACGGACGCUAAUACCGCAUAAUGCAGCGGCACCGCAAGGUGACAGUUGUUAAAGAUUUAUUGCCUGGGGAGGAGCUUGCGGCAGAUUAGCUUGUUGGUAAGGUAACGGCUUACCAAGGCUACGAUCUGUAUCCGGUCUAAGAGGACGUCGGACGACACUAGACGACCUGAUAACGGUACGAGACGUACCUACCGGGAGGGCGAGACGAGUCGGGAAGUUUAGGUCGGAACU